rnacentral:lncRNA from 1 species
GCUUCUUCAAGACCCUGCUUUUAAUUAUUUGGGGUAUAUACCCAGAAUUACUGGAUCAUAUGAUAAUUCUAGUUUUAACGUUUUGAGGAACCUCCAUACUGUUUUUCACAGUGGCUGUACCAUGUGACAUUACCAUCAACAGUGCACAAGAGUUCCAAUAACUCCACAUCCUCACCAACACUUAUUUUCUGGCUUGUUUUGUUUUGUUUUGUUUUUUGUUGUUGUUGUUGUUGUUUUUUUGUUUUUUGUUUUUUGUUUUUUUUUUGGUAGUAGCCAUUGCAUUGUAAUGGGUGUGGGUGGUAUCUCAUAGUUGUCAUUUGCGUUUCCCUAAUAAUUAAUGACAUUGAACAUCUUUUUAUGUGCUUAUUGACCAUUUUACUCAAUCUGUUUUUUAAAAUAAAGUAUUAUUGGAACAAAACCACACCCAUUCUUUAAAAAUUGUCUGUUAGCAUCAUAUUGGCAGAGUUGUAGCAGAGACAACAAGGAUACAGAGCAUAAAAUAUUUACUAUUUUGUCCUUUGCAGAAAAAUUUUGCCUAUUGAAUAUUGCCUGGAACAUGGUAUGGAAUAUUGCCCAGAACUAACUUCAGUAUGCAUUAGAGUCACCUGCCAGACUUGUUAAAACUUUGAUUGCUGCUCUGUGCUACUUUCUGGAGUUUACAAUUCAAUAGGAGUCAGGUGGGGCUCAAGAAUUUGCAUUUCUAAUAAUUCCCAGAGGAUGCUGGUAUGCCUGGUUCACAGAUCACCGCUUUAGAACCACUGAUCUGGAACUAUAAGGAAAAGCUACUGAGUAUGCUGCAUCUUGGAGCACCCAUAUUGCCAUCUGCUGCCCCACGACCCCUAAGUCAUAUGUGCGACUUCUGUCGACGUCUACAUUGUUACAGGCAAAAAUCACGAGGAGCAUAUGGUUUUCAUUCUACCAAGACUUUCAUUUCAUGCUGUUACCAGAAGGGUUAGAAAUCCUGAUUGGAUGGGAAGGAGAUUAGCUUUUCCCCUAGUGGAAUAAUUUCAUUAUAACAGAGGGGUCACCUCCCUAAGCUAAAUGUGAAAAGAAUAAUAGAAAGAGUACAGAUCAUGGGAAAAAAAAAACUAGAAAGGCUUUGUAAUAAAUUUUGAUAUGACUUCAGAGAGUACAUCUUCACUUCAUGUAUUUGAAUAAACCCUUUAAAAUUUGGAUAACUAGAUUGUUCUAUUUCAAUUCCCACUUUUCUCAUUUACAUCACUUUUAUACAUCAAGCACCUUCCACUAUCUGGCUGAUGUGUAGAAUAAGAAGCAUUUUCAGGGCGCUGACUCUUCUGGUCUAUCCAAGUUCACUGAAAGGACCUAUUUAACCCCUAAAACAUCAAACACCAUUAAUACAGUGUAACCAAAAGAGCUAAACUCUACCCUGACUAAAGAACUUUAAAAGAAAUAUCAAGUCAUCAGGUAUCUAUCUCAAUGACUUGUUUCUUAUCGACAUCAGAAACAUCCAUGUA